UGCCUCUUUCCCUUCGGUCGACGUGGACACUGUGCCGGACACCUCUGGCAGGACUAACCCCGUGGCUUUUAUGUCCAGCGUGCUGUGCUGUGUGUGCCUGCAGGUAAGAAAAGCUGGGAGUGCAGUCCCUCUGCUUUGAUUGCUGUGUCUCUUGGGUAGCGAUUUUGGAGGGGAAUCCCAGAGCGAUUUGGUUUGAAGGGGACCUUCAAAGGCCAGCCUGUCUUCCGUGGGCAGGGACACCUUCCACUGUCCCCGGUUGCUCCGAGUCCCAUCCAGCCUGGCCUGGAACACUUGCAGGGAUGGGGCAGGCUCAGUUUCCAUGUGCAGUGUGCUCUAAUAUCUCUCCACUGGCAUCCUGAAAAAUGUUGUCAGUGUGUUUUGUUGGACGACGCUAGGCAGGACCUGGGUGAAAAGGACAUUCUCUGAGGUGCUGGGAGAAGGAGGACUCGUGCGGGCACCUCCAGAGACAGCGGGAACGGGAGCGUGCUGCGGAGAAGGAAAAUUCCAGGGGAAUUGCCACGAGAGGAAAUACCUCAGAGGGGCUUCCCUCCAGAUAAGCCCUGAAUAUGCCAGGAGGUUUCAGCCGGGAGAAAGGAGCUGUGGAAGAAAAGCAGCCUAAAAGUAGCCAGCGGGGAUCAUCAGGUUUUCCAGGCAAGAAGAACAAGGAGAGAGAUGAGGGAAUGGGGUUCCAAUUCCUAAUGAUUUGGUGGGUGCAGGAAUGAUUUGUGUGUGUUUUCCAGUCCCUUUUGAUUCCUGAGAUGAUUUUAAAAUGAUGGCUUUAGCAAUCAACUAAAUCGGAGAUGUUGUUUUUGAGAGGAAAUGGUGCCAAAUAAAUGCAGAGUUUUGGGUCA